ensembl:lncRNA
GUUAGUGGAAAACUUCUAGAGCUGAAGAAUGAAAUAAAUGAAAAAUUCACUUCAUGAACUUAAUAGCAGAUUACACACUUGAGAAGAGAACAUCAGUAAACUUGAAAGAAAGAAUAGACAUUGCUUGAACUAAAAAGCACAGAGGAAAAUAUGGUGACAAUUAAGCAGGUCUUCAAUAACCUAUCAUCAAAUCUAAAGGCCUGGCAUACAGGGAUCACUAGCUACCUUAUUACCAAGAAGAAUGGCCCUUUGACAGCAUGACUGCCACCCAGAAUCUACCCCAAUUGCAACCUUAGAGAUGCCAAUGGCACUGAAGAACUAAUCAAGAUCAGAAGUAGAACUUCUAAAACAGAUGCUUCUAUUAAUGUUGCAACUCAG